rnacentral:lncRNA from 1 species
CGCUGUAACAGGGCCCCCCCGUGCACGUACUUGUGCUUGUGUGUGAGGCCUUGCACCGUGGUGGUGCACGCGCUUGUGCGUGCGCUUGUGCACGAGGCCUUGCACCACAGUGGUGCGCGCUGGUGGCUCGUGCGCAGCUGUGCACACCCCUCCCCCCUGCGGUGCACUCUCAUCCACGCUCAUGGACUCACCGUCACCUUGCACACUUGUGUGCUCACACUCAUUGUGCACAUUUGUGAGUGCGCCACCCCCCAUGCACACACACCCCCGUGCACACACACAUGCACCACACAUGUUUUGUGCACGCAUGCACACGCUUGUGCCACGUGCAAGCCCAGCCCUCGUGCACACUUGUGCACACAGCCCCUUGCACACUUACAGCCUGGGUGCACUGCAGCCACACACACACACACACUCACUCACCCCCACACAUGCACUGUGUACAAUCCCCACUUGCACACUCAUGCACAUUUCGUGCACACUCCCCUUGCACACUCACACCUCAUGCAGCCCUCACACAACUCCUUUUUGCACACUCACACUUCUCGCACCCCCCUUUGCACACUCACUCCUCAUGCAUCCCCGUUGCGCACUCACACUUCUUGCACCCCCACUUGCACAAUUCCCUUGCACACUCACACCUCGUUCCCCCCCGUGCCCCCCCCUUUGCACACGCACUCCCUGCACACGCCCCCUUCUGGUGCACUUGUGCCCCCCCCCGCUGUGCACCACUCCCUUGCACGCUCACACUCGUGACCCCCCCUCCCCCCCCCAAUAAAGCCCCUUCUGCUCCCGAAUGGACCUGGGGUCAACGUGGGGGAUUUGGGGCCACAAAAUGGGAUUUUGGGGUCAGAAUUUGGGAUUUUGGGGUCAGGAUUGGGGAUUU